rnacentral:misc_RNA from 1 species
UCUCCGUAGGUGAACCUGCGGAGGGAUCAUUACAGAGUUCAUGCCCUACCGGGUAGAUCUCCCACCCUAUGUUAUUAUUACUUUGUUGCUUUGGCGGGCCGUUAGGCUCCGGCCCGACUACCGGCCCCGGCUGGUAAGCGCCCGCCAGAGGACCCAAAACCCUGAAUAUUAGUGUCGUCUGAGUACUAUAUAAUAGUUAAAACUUUCAACAACGGAUCUCUUGGUUCUGGCAUCAAUGAAGAACGCAGC